CCUGGCAAUUUUGCAUCCCCAAUGUCUUGAGAUCAUGUUGACCAAGUUUGGUGGCAAUCGGGUAAAAAACCUAUGACAAGUAUAUCAAAUUCCAGAGCAUGCACUUUUUACAUAGCUCUAAAUAGCUGACUUCCUGUUGGGCGGAGCCUAUGACAUGCAAUACGAAAGUUGUUCGGCACAAUGCGAUCUAUAUGUGUACUGAGUUUCAUAUGAAUACGUGCAAGUAUGUUUGAACUAUACAUCAACAUUUCUGACUGUGUUCCAGGGGGCGCCGUAGAGCCCCUGUGCCACGCCCGGGUCCCAGCCUCUGCGGCCUCCUAAUGGCCACAGAUUCCAAGGUGUGUGCAAAUUUUCAAGAGUUUUUGAGCAUGUUAAGGGCCCCAAAAGCCCCCAAAACUUUGACGGAAAAUAAGAAUACAAAACCCUAAAUAACCAACUUCCUGUUGGGGCGGAGCCUAUGACAUGGAGUACGAAAGUUGUUCGGCUUGAUGAGAUCUAUAUGUGUACCGAGUUUCAUACGUCUACGUGCAAGUAUGUAUGCUAUAUGGCCCUCCAAAUUCCAGGGGGCGCUGUAGAGUCCCUGUGCCACGCCCGUGUAUCAGUCUCUGCCCGGCCCUAAUGGCCGCAGGUUCCAAUGUGUGUGCCAAUUUUCAAGAGUUUUUGAGCAUGUUAAGGGCCCCAAAAGCCCCCGAAACCUUGGAAAAAAAUUAGAAGAAUAAAGAAAAAAAAAAAAAAAUAAUAAUAAUCCUAAGGAAAACAAUAGGGCUCUUCGCCCUCCAGGCUUGAGCCCUAA
ensembl:lncRNA